rnacentral:snoRNA from 1 species
CCCCUCUCAGGGUCACACCUGGAGAGUUUCCAGUACUCUACCGGUCACGACUACAGGAGGGAGAGUCAAGCAGAGGCCUGUCCAUUCCAUUCCUAGCUUGGCCAGUGGCUAGCAAGUGGAAAGCAAUCUGCUACAAGU